rnacentral:piRNA from 2 species
UCAAGAACUCGCAGUACAUUACCAG